UGGGGAAUAUUGCACAAUGGGCGCAAGCCUGAUGCAGCCAUGCCGCGUGUAUGAAGAAGGCCUUCGGGUUGUAAAGUACUUUCAGCGAGGAGGAAGGCGGUAAGGUUAAUAACCUUAUCGAUUGACGUUACUCGCAGAAGAAGCACCGGCUAACUCCGUGCCAGAAGCCGCGGUAAUACGGAGGGUGCAAGCGUUAAUCGGAAUUACUGGGCGUAAAGCGCACGCAGGCGGUCUGUCAAGUCGGAUGUGAAAUCCCCGGGCUCAACCUGGGAACUGCAUUCGAAACUGGCAGGCUAGAGUCUUGUAGAGGGGGGUAGAAUUCCAGGUGUAGCGGUGAAAUGCGUAGAGAUCUGGAGGAAUACCGGUGGCGAAGGCGGCCCCCUGGACAAAGACUGACGCUCAGGUGCGAAAGCGUGGGGAGCAAACA
rnacentral:rRNA from 1 species